rnacentral:lncRNA from 1 species
GGGAAAAAAAACUACUGCCCAAAUUUGUAAGGUGAUCACACUUGUCGGGGAGACCCAAGCCAGGGCACAACUGCUAUCAGCGUGAAAUGGAGGGGUUCACUGCAACCGGACACUUCUCUAGAAGCUCAGGGAAAAGCUGGACUCUGAGAGUGGGCUGCGCUCCACGGGGGCGGGGGCGGGGGCGAGCGCAAAUGCGAGGGGGCCUCGGUUGAGAGAAGGGAGUCAGCUUGUUCUCUUCUCUCCUUGGAGACUGGCUCCGAACGGUGAGCAGCCCACAGGUUACCACACCUGUUCACCUGCCAGUUCACUCAUGUAUCUCUUCAUUCAUGCAAUGAAGAAUAAUUGUACAGCGACGAGGGAGGAGGCAGGACGCCCGGCGAGCAUAUCAGGCGUGGUCCAGUGAGUGACGGCGCCACGCAGCUCCAUGCCUGGU